GAAGAUGAGGAGGCAUCCUUUAUAUAAAGGAGUUCCGUCCAAUACAGUCUGAACUCUAAAAAAAAAAAGAAAGUAAACACAACCUAAAUGAAGCAACUCGUAGAGAAUUACUUGCAAUUAUGGAGAGUGAUCAUUUCCUUUACUACGUGGUCAGGAGAAGAAGGCGUGUUCUGGGGAAUUUGUCCAAGAGUAACGGCUAAUAUAUACACAUCAUGGGAUAAGUGCAAGAAACAAGUAGAUGGAUUCAAGGGGAACGAGUAUAAGGGGUUCAUGGUCAGGCACGAUGCAGAGGCAUGGUUCAAUUUGCCCCAGGAAGUCCCCAACAAUAAGGAGAUAGGCCUGAGAAUAAGGAGUUGGCUGUAAGAUUCAGAAAUCUCAACAUUAGUGACUAUCUGACCGUGGUGGGAGAAGGUAGCAGUGGAUUUGGUAGCAACGCGAUGGGCCUCCUACCUUCUGAAUUAGGUUUAGAUGUUGUCCCAAAGGUGGACCCUACUGAGUUUAUCAUUAUGGAGGACUUGGAGCAUCUACUAUUUCGCACUUGUGCUCAGCUUCAAGUAGGUCCUCCAGUGUUUUUCCUUCGUGACGGUGUCCGUGUCCAAGGAAAGAGCUACUUCAGCUUUGGGGUGUCUCUGCAAAGCACUGAGGAUAGAGUAAACUUUUUUGUGUACAGGCCAAGAAAUAUGCCGCAUUUAUAACUCUGGAGAGGCUUUUGGAAGAGAUAGGGAUGAAGAUAUUUGAUUUCAAUUAUCUGAUGGCGCUUUGUAUGGAGUUGCAGCAGGUGUCGAGGUGGUCCCUGGCAGACCGUGUUGCUGAACUGGAGAAGGAGAACGCUGAGCUGAAGCAAAGGUUGGGCCUUUACAAUGCCGUGUUCUGCUAUUAGGUUGGCUUAUAGUUUGAUGCAACAUAAGUUUCUUUAUUAGGCUAUUAUGGUCUGUUUUAUGUAUUUUUUAUUCCCAUUUUGAACUCAGUAUGGCUUAGCUAGUUUGGAUACAUACUUUGUUUGCAGGAUUAUAUUUCGCCAGUUUGUUUGUUAUGUGGUCUAGUGAUGUGUUGGAACUAUGAAUUUUUUUUUUCUAAAAAUAUUAAUCAUCAUAGUCUAUUUAUGGUUUCAUGAA